UACGAAGGGGGCUAGCGUUGUUCGGAAUUACUGGGCGUAAAGGGCGCGCAGGCGGCUGCUCAAGUCAGGCGUGAAAGGCCUGGGCUCAACCCGGGAAUUGCGCUUGAGACUGGGCUGGCUUGAGUGCGGGAGAGGAUGGUGGAAUUCCCAGUGUAGAGGUGAAAUUCGUAGAUAUUGGGAAGAACACCGGUGGCGAAGGCGGCCAUCUGGACCGAAACUGACGCUGAGGCGCGAAAGCGUGGGGAGCAAACAGG
rnacentral:rRNA from 1 species